rnacentral:rRNA from 1 species
GAUGAACGCUGGCGGCGUGCCUAAUACAUGCAAGUUGAGCGAAUGGAUUAAGAGCUUGCUCUUAUGAAGUUAGCGGCGGACGGGUGAGUAACACGUGGGUAACCUGCCCAUAAGACUGGGAUAACUCCGGGAAACCGGGGCUAAUACCGGAUAACAUUUUGAACCGCAUGGUUCGAAAUUGAAAGGCGGCUUCGGCUGUCACUUAUGGAUGGACCCGCGUCGCAUUAGCUAGUUGGUGAGGUAACGGCUCACCAAGGCAACGAUGCGUAGCCGACCUAGGAGGGUGAUCGGCCACACUGGGACUGAGGCACGGCCCAGACUCCGACGGGAGGCAGCAGUAGGGAAUCUUCCGCAAUGGACGAAAGUCUGACGGAGCAACGCCGCGUGAGUGAUGAAGGCUUUCGGGUCGUAAAACUCUGUUGUUAGGGAAGAACAAGUGCUAGUUGAAUAAGCUGGCACCUUGACGGUACCUAACCAGAAAGCCACGGCUAACUACGUGCCAGCCGCCGCCGUAA